rnacentral:lncRNA from 1 species
GUGGGUAAAUCCAGCUCUACAUCCCCAGUGAUUUUAUAAGAGUUCUGGGAACUUGCUUAAUAUGAAUAUUGGUUUGGCUUAGUGAAAUACUGAAUGUUUGGUUGAAACUACUGUUCUGAAAAAUCGAAAAGUUCUAGUCCUGUUUUUGGUCUCAAUAUGGAAAAGAACGGAUAUCAUGGGUUAAUGGCACGAAGACAUCACAUAUUACCAC